rnacentral:piRNA from 1 species
UAGAUGGGACUAAAAUAAAAAGGACAGGU